GAUGAAGAACGCAGCGAAAUGCGAUACGUAAUGUGAAUUGCAGAAUUCAGUGAAUCAUCGAAUCUUUGAACGCAUAUUGCGCUCUCUGGUAUUCCGGAGAGCAUGCUUGUUUGAGUAUCAGUAAACACCUCAACUCCCUUUUCUUUUUUGAAAUUGGAGCUGGACUUGAGUGAUCCCAACGCUUUCUUCCUAGAAAGUGGCGGGUUGCUUGAAAUGCAGGUGCAGCUGAACUUUUCUCUUAGCUAUAAGCAUAUCUAUUUAGUCUGCCUAAAAAACAGAUUAUUACCUUUGCUGCAGCUAACAUAAAGGAGACUAGUUCUUGUGCUGACUGAUGCAGGAUUCACAGAGACAGCUUCGGCUGACUUUCUAAACUCGAUCUCAAAUCAAGUAAGACUACCCGCUGAACUUAAGCAUAUCAAUAAGCGGAGGA
rnacentral:misc_RNA from 1 species